GUAGGGAAUUUUCGGCAAUGGGCGCAAGCCUGACCGAGCAACGCCGCGUGAGGGAAGAAGGUCUUCGGAUCGUAAACCUUUGUCUUUGGGGACGAUAAUGACGGUACCCAAGGAGGAAGCCACGGCUAACUACGUGCCAGCAGCCGCGGUAAUACGUAGGUGGCAAGCGUUGUCCGGAAUUACUGGGCGUAAAGGGCGUGUAGGCGGCCUUUUAAGUCAGACGUGAAAACCUGGGGCUUAACCUGAGGAGUGCGUUUGAAACUGGAAGGCUUGAGGAUCGGAGAGGGCAGUGGAAUUCCCAGUGUAGCGGUGAAAUGCGUAGAUAUUGGGAGGAACACCAGUGGCGAAGGCGGCUGCCUGGACGACACCUGACGCUGAGGCGCGAAAGCUAGGGGAGCAAACGGGAUUAGAUACCCGGGUAGUCC
rnacentral:rRNA from 1 species